GAAAUUUUAGUACAAAAGAUAAUUAACAGUCAAACAAAGUUUUGUAGUUUGCAAUGGAUCCUUUAUCAUUGGAAAAAGUUUAGUCAUUGUCAGACACUUUUCUAAUAAUGGCUUCAGCGCAAGCAGGAAUUAAUUCAGCCCCAGCUUCUGUUACAGAUGAGGUCAUGAAGGGACGUUGAUCAAUUUUAACACCAGGAUUAAUGAACAUAUAUUCAUCCCAUAGUCUCUGGGGUGUACAAUUUUAACAUUUAGGCUUAAAAGACCAAAAUUCUAACCAAUUCUGCCCUAAAACUCCCCACCAACUCAGGGAGAUGUUCUCUAGAGGAGCUUGAGCCAUAUUAUCAGGUGAUUUUAGGAAGGAUAAAACAUUACUCAGAAAACCAAAUUUUCCUCAAAACCUCCGGAGGAGAAAAGAUGGUGAGAGCUAUUUAAGGCUCUUCUGCUGCCACAUGUCACACGUUGUGACGCACUCUGUCAGCGUGGUUACACAACACCACCACCUCCUCAAACACAGCCGCCUUUCCAUGGAGGGCCUGUGCCCCCCCUGCCACUCCCUGGCCCCCCACCAUGCUAAAAGCAAAGGAAUAAAACUCUGCUGAUAUCUGUCAAACCCAUCAAUUGUGAAGCAGUGAUGCAUUCUUCCCUCCCUACAGACUUCUUGUCUCUCUUUGGCACAUAAAACCAUUGCUGUGAUCAAAACACAAUUGCUAUUUUAUUUGUGUUAAUUAUUUACUGACAUUUGAUUUGGAGUUCUAGAGAAGUACUAGAGGAUGAUGGCAUUGCAGAGGAGAGAAUCUAUCCAGCAGUUGUUCCACCUCCUGGCACCAGAGCAUGAAGCUAUAGAGAGAAGGCAGAUAAGCUGCACAUCCAGUUUUGCAUACAGCCCUUCUGCAGCCUCGCACUUGUGAGCAGCCCAGUUUCAAUUUUCCUUGAGUGCAGCCAUUUUUGCUAGCUGGUGAUCCCAGGCAGCUGUGUAAGCAAGAGGGCAGAAAGCCCUGUUCCAGAAGGCAUCCCACAUGGACACAACUCCUGCUGCAGAUUGCCCCAUGAAGGAGCUUCUCUCUUCAUUAACUCCAAGGAAAGCUGAGAAAGACAGGCUGGCUUUUCAGGGAGUAUUACCCAUCUUGCAGUUAUCUGCACAAAACAUUCCAAAAGUUCCAGGACCUGCCUAUUCAACACUUAUUUGCAAACACUGUGAAGUUCAUAAAAGCACAAUUCUCCUUUAGUUCUUGUGAAAAGUUUAACAAGGCAAAAUUAAUUUGGUAAGUACUGCGAAGUAUUUUAUUUUCAAACACACAUUUGUGUUUGAAAUUCGCUUUUGGGGGUUAAAGAGGAGGUGAAAGUUGAGAGGUGAUAGCUGAAGAAUGUACUGACUAUAGUGGUGCUAAUUAGGAACUUUCGUGCUGGUCUUUCCUUUGGGAAAUUCGUAAAUCACCUGAAACAAAGACUACAUCAAAGACUAACAAUUUUAAAAAGCAAUCAAAUUAAAAGAAUUCUACAUGGACUUCCAUCUAGACAGCACAAAUGUACCUCUCACGAUGUAGGUUGUACAUAUAUAAACAGAUGCCCUUAGCAGACCCACACUUAUACUGAAGUGUUAUGAACUUUAUGGCAAAGUAAAGCUGGUGUGCAAGAUUUUAAGGAAACAGACUCCAGUGUUAAAUAGAAAACCAC